ACCGUAGGACACAAGCGUUAUCCGGAUUUACUGGGCGUAAAGGGCGUGUAGGCGGAUGUGUAAGUCUAUUCUGAAAGCUCCUGGCUAAACUGGGAGAGGCGAAUGGAGACUGCAUGUCUAGAGUGAGGAAGAGGAAAGUGGAAUUCCGCGUGUAGGGGUGAAAUGCGUAGAUACUGGGAGGGACACCAGUGGCGAAGGCGGCUCUCUGGGACGGUACUGACGCUGAGACGCGAAAGCGGGGGGAGCGAACAGG
rnacentral:rRNA from 1 species